rnacentral:misc_RNA from 1 species
GCAGGUAAACGGGCCAAUUGGAUAGCUUGCUAGAAGAUUGGUCUGUGCCGGACGGGUGAGAAACACGUGGAUAAUCUGCCUGUAACUCCGGGAUAACACGGUGAAAACGGUGCUAAUACCGGAUACCUUCAUGACGCCGCAUGGUGAUGUGAAGAAAGCAUAAUGUGGUUACAGAUGAAUCCGCGGCUGAUUAGCUAGUUGGUGGGGUAAAGGCCUACCAAGGCGAUGAUCAGUAGCCGGCCUGAGAGGGUGAUCGGCCACACUGGGACUGAGACACUUUUCAGACUC